rnacentral:rRNA from 1 species
AUGCAGUAUAUAGUAGUGCCAGCUACAUCGAAAACCAUGGGGCCUUCACGAGCUGUCCCCUGCCUGGUCCUCCUCUUCCUCCUCUCCUCGUCCAGCGGCGCUUCCGUUGUACUAGAAGACACGUGCAAAUCCAUCGCCGCCGGCAAGGAAAGGAGCAUCGGCUACAACUACUGCAUCAAGUUUUUCGAGGCCAGCAAGGGCAGCGCCACCGCCGACAAGCGUGGCUUGGCCGUCAUCGCGUCGAAGCUCAACAGAAGAGCGGCAGCCAAGAGCAUGGUCAAGCGCAUCCACGCCCUCAGGGCCUCGGAGAAGGACAAGGUCAUCCAGAUGGGCCUCGACAUCUGCGGCCAAUUGUACUCGACAGCCGUGGACGAGCUCGAUGCUGCGGCUAAAGGCGUCGAGGCGGGCACACCGGAAGUCAAAUUUGACGCGGAGAUGUACCUCACCGGCGCGUUCGACGCCCCCGAGACCUGCGAGACCGGGUUCGGGGAGAUGGGCCUGAAGUCGCCGCCCGACGCCGAGUUCACUAAGGAGGUGUACAUCGCGAUGGCUGUAACGCACUCGUUAUAG